rnacentral:lncRNA from 1 species
GAGGACUCGGAUUUAAGAGUUGACAUCUUAAUAAUACUCUUUAUUGGUGGAGUACAGAAAGUUUUAUUGACCAGGCUAAAAAAUCUAUAAUAUGAAUACCAUCAUAUUUUCCACGUACACUGUUGUAAUGUAACAGUUCUAAAACCAUUCUAAGCUCUUUCAAGUAAGGAUGCUAUAUAAAUACAGAUUGGUAAUAUUAUUACAGUCCCCCAUUUCUUUCCCACCACUGACAGUUUCUUGGACAAGUAUUCACAUUUAUCUUCCACUAGCACCCAAACUCCCAAGAAAUGAGAAAGAAAAAAAUCAAGUGCUUGGAGAAUUGACCAUUGUCUAUAACUUUACUGUUAUCACAUGCUGCUAAUUUCAGGAGGGUAAACAAAGUAGAAUAAAACAAAACAACAGUUGAUGGAUGGAAUGUACUCAGAUUCAAAAUGCUUGACAUCCCAUGUAAUGAGCCACUUCUGGCAGUAUAGUGCCUGAAUUCUUGGAUUCAGAAAUUACAUUACUUUAGAAGGAUGCCAUAGAUUCAUUUUGAUUACAUAAUUUACUGAGCAAAGGAGUACUCUUGAUACUUUAAAAAUAUUAUUGGAUUUCAUGAGUGGUUGUUAUACUUCAUUAAUGCAAGUUAUGUCCUAUGCCAUAAUUACAUCAUGCUAUGCCUAUUUUAUUAAGUCAAUUCUAGAUGGCAGGAAUGGUUUCAAUUUAACUAAGCUUUUUAGAGCACGUGCUUCAUCAGGUCUUUUAUACUUUCCAGCCUUUGUUUAUAUCUGAAUUUCAUUGCAUUCAAUCUUUGUUGUAAGCGGGUCUAAUGAAUGUAUAUAUAUGCAUAUUUUUCUCCCCCAUUUCACUCUUAUUCAUUUAAUUAGUUCAGAUGAUCCCUGACUUAUGAUGGUUUGACUUAACAAUUUUUCAGUUUUGCAAUGGGCUUAUUAGGACAUAACCCCAUCAUAAGUUGAAGAUCAUCUGGACUUACAAUGGUUCAACUUACAAUUUUUUGGCUUUGUGCUGGGUUUAUUGGGGCAUUAAAUGUGUCUUCAACUUAUGCUAUUUUCAACCUAGGGUGGGUUGAAAUUGGGACAUUGCCCCAUUGCAAGUUGAGAAGCACCUGCCUUUGUUGAAAAGGUACUAAGUAAGCAGCACUGUGCGAGCUGCCCUGGGGUCUUCUAUGGUUUGGAUAUGUUCCCCAUAAAGCAUGUGUUGGAAACUUAAUCUCCCAUGCAACAGUGUUGAGAGAUGGGACCUUUAAAAGGUGGUUAGGUCAAGGGUUUAGUCCUCAUGCAUGCAUUAAUGCCAUUAUCUUGCAAGUGGGUUAGUUACUGCAGGAGAGGGUUAGUUAUUGUGGGAAUGGGCUCCUGAUGAAAGGAGAAUAACAUUGGCCUCCUCUCUUUCUUGCACACACAUGCUGUUUCGCCCUUCCACCUUCUGCCAUGAGAUGACACAGCAAGAAGGCCCUCGCCAGAUGUGGGCCCCUUGACCUUGGACUUCCCAGCUUCCAGAACUGUAAGAAAUAAAUAUCUGUUCUUUAUAAAUUACCCAGUCCCAGUUAUUCCAUUAUGGCUGCACAAAAUUAACUAAGACAGGGUCCUACCUUGUGCAUACCCUUCCCCACCACCAAUCUGCGUUUCUGGCUGUUAGCUCAUUUCUGUCCUGCUGUCCUCUAACUUUGUGGCUAGACUUGGAUACAUAUCUAAGAUUGAUUCCCUUUGUCCAUCCUUGGUAACUUAGAGGCCAUUGUCACUUUGACUUGGAAACUAAUGGUAGCCUUGUAGUUCCCUUUUCCAUCUCCCUUCAGGUCCAACUCACAUGCAAGUCACUGAUCCCUCUUUUCUCACAUAUCUCCCUUCUGUGCCUGACUUCCCGUAUCACUGUCACCUGUGACCCACACCCUCAUUUCACUUGAGAAUUACUCAAUGGCCUCCUAGUUGAUGUCUGCUUCUUGUCCUUCCUGUCUCCAAUCCAAUCCACUAGCACAGUCAGAUUCGUCUUUCUAAAAAUCUGCUCUGAUUAUGAUACUCUCCUUCUCAGGAAUCUUCAAUGGCUCCCAUGUGUCCAGAAAAUAAUCUACAUCCCUUGUGAUAUGGUUUGGGUGUGUCCCCACCCAAAUCUCACUUUCAACUGUAGUUCCCAUAAUCCUCACAUGUCAUGAGAGGGACCUGGUGGGAGGUAAUUGAACCAUGGGGUGAUGGUUUUAUAAGGGGCUUUUCCCCCUUUGCUUGGCUCCCAUUCUCUCUCCUGCCACCCUGUGAAGAGGUGCCUUCUGCCAUGAUUGUAUGUUUCCUGAUGCCUCCCCAGCCAUGCUGUAUGAGUCAAUUAAACCUCUUUCCUUUACAAAUUACCCAGUCUUGGUUAUGUCUUUAUUAGCAGCGUGAGAACAGACUAAUAUAUCUUGGCAUAGAAGUCAGAAUUCACUGGGGUAGGACCCUUAAGCUGCUUUUUCAGCUUUUCUCCUACCUCUCCUCCUACUGUCAACUCCCAUUUUUGCCCCACCACCUCUGCUUCCGUUGCACACUGCCACUCCCCAACUCCUCCACAUGACAGAUCCACUUUCUGCUUCCUCUGCGCAGUCUUGCUCAAGUGCUAUCUUCUUCAUAAUUGCUGUUUUCUGAAGUUUCUAAUCAGGAGUGAGUGUUUCCCUCUGGGUUCCUAUAACACAUAUGUUAUGGUUUGAAUAUUGUCCCCUCUAAAUCUCAUGUUGAAAUGUAAUUCCCAGUAUGAACCCUGAAUAUCUGAGACAGGGUCAAUGUAGAAAGCUUAUUUUGCCAAGGCUAAGGAUGCAUACCCGUGACUCAGCCUCAAGAGGUUCUGAUGACAUGUGCCCAAGGAGGCUGGGGCACAGCUAGGUUUUAUACAUUGUAGGGAGACAUGAGACAUCAAACAAUAUGUGUAAGAUGAAGAAUGGUUUGGUCCCAAAAGGAGAGACAACUGGAAGCAAAUAUGAGACAACUCGAAGCGGGGAGGGGGCUUCCAGGUCAUAGGUAGGUAAGAGACAAAUGGCUGCAUUAUUUUAAGUUUCUGAUUAGCCUCUCCAAAGGAGGCAAUCAGAUAGCAUUUAUCUCAGUGAGCAGAGGGAUGACUUUGAAUAGAAUGGGAGGCAGGUUUGCCCUAAGCGGGUCCCAGCUUGACUUUCCCUUUAGCUUAGUGAUUUUUGGAAUGCCAAGAUUUAUUUUCCUUUCACAGCAGUGUUGGAGGUGGAGCCUGGUGGGAGGGUGGUUUGUUGGGGGUGGGGGGGGGUGGGGCAGAUUUUUCAUGAAUGGUUGUGUGUCAUCCCCUUCGUGCUGACCUCAUGAUAGUGAAUUAUUUCUCAAGAGAUCUGGUAGCUUAACAUUGUGUGGCAACUUGCCCGCUUUUUCUCUUGCUCCCGCUGUAGCCAUGGGACAAGCUUGCUCCCUCUUUGCCUUCCACCAUAAUUGUAGGCUUCCCGAGGCCCUCACCAGAAGCUGAGCAGAUGCUGGGGCCAUGCUUCCUGGACAGCCUGCAGAACUGUUUCCCAUGCUGUGUUGCAGAGACAAUGCUCACUUUGGGGUGAGUAUCCGUUACAGAUGGCCAUGCCUUUUCAUCAUCAUCAGGAUGUAGCGAUAAAGUGGCCCUUCUCAGGCACACUGCCAGGGCAAGUUUUCUUAUCUCUUCCAUGAAUUCAGCAUCAUUCAACCCAUGAGAAGGAAACCUACAGUUCUCCUCGUAAUGGAGCAGUCUUCACAGCACUGUUCGUGUGACCCUCCUAUGACAGUCAUGGCAGGAAAGGAAAGCAGAAAGCUUCUGCAGUACUCAGCUGGGUCAAGGUAGAACUUCAAAGACCAAGCAGAAAGCUUCUGCAGUACUCAGCUGGGUCAAGGUAGAACUUCAAAGACCAAGCAGAAAGCUUCUGCAGUACUCAGCUGGGUCAAGGUAGAACUUCAAAGACCAAGCAGAAAGCUUCUGCAGUACUCAGCUGGGUCAAAGACCAGCUGCACUGGAGAAGAUGGCCCUGUUCACCCUGUGGAACAGCCUGGAGGUCAUGGCUACAAACCUACCUUCUCGUAGCAGAGACAUGACACUAGGUCAGACGGCUAGUUCUGCGAGAAAUAAAAAUGACAGUUGGACAUUUGGUAUCCUAUAGAACGAGUAUCUGUUUACUGAAUUUUUACGCUAUCAUCUGGUGGUUUUGGCAUUACUGGGAUGCAAUUUUAGUUUUUUUGUGUGCAGAGAAUAGCCACUUGUUUGGGUUUCUGAGGUCAUUUCUCACAUUUCUGCUCCAGAAAUGAGUGCAUUCCAUAAAUAUAUUUUUACUGCAAAGUCUAAUUUGCUUGCUUUCUUAAUGUGAGCCCAUCUCCUUUCUAAAAUCCUGGUUUUCUCAAAAAUGCUAGUUAGUUGCUGUCUUCUUACUAAUGUUGACAACAUCUUAUCAUCAAAUACUUACUUUGUAUUCUGUCCAGCCCUGUCCCUGGCAUAUAAUAAAUAUUUUAGAGGCUCUUUCUACUGCAGUUUCUUCCAAAAUUCCAUUUAUUUGAGGUUGAUGAGCUUCCUUUUUCUUUUUGUUUUUUGGUUUGUUUGUUUUUUGUAGAGACAUGGUCUCGCUUUGUCACCCAGGCUGGAGUGCAGUGGUGUGAUCAUAGCUCACUGUAGCCUCAAACUCCUGGGCACAAGCGACCCUCCAGCCUCAGCCUCCCAAGUAGCUGGGACUACAGGUCCACUGCCACACCCAGAUAAUCUUUAAAAUUUUUUUAGAGAUGGAGUCUUGUUAUGUUGCCCAGGCUAGUCUUGAACUCCUGGUCUCAGGUGAUUCUCCCACCUUGGCCUCCUGAGUAGCUGGGAUUACAGAUGAGAGCCACUACACCCGGCUUGAGGAGCUUCAUGAUAAAAAGAUGCCAUGGAGUGGCUCCUGUGCCUGUGUCCCAGGAGCCACUGCGUGGCCUGGCUUCAAGAUCAGGCCAGAAAAACUGGUUUAUUCUUGCAGUGGCUCACAUAUUCUCCAUGGAACCAACUCAGUCAGCUCUUGUAGGUUGAACCGUCUUGCCCAAAAGAUACGUUGAAGUUUUAACCUCAGUGUCUGUGAACGUGACCUUCAUUGGAAGUACAGUCUUUGCAGAUGUAAUGUAGCUAAGAUGAGGUUAUGCUGGGGAGGACACCCAAAUAACUGGUGCCCUUAUACGAAGAGGAAAAGAGAAACGCAGACAUGCAUGGAGAGAAGGCCAUGUGAAGGCAGAGGCGGAAUGAGAGUCAUUAAUAUAAGCUAGGGGCACCUAGGAUUGCUGGACACCGCCAGAAGCUGGAGGGGAAAGGAAGGAUUCUCCCCUAGAGCAUUCAGAGGGAGCACAGCAUGGCAGACACUUUAAUUUUGGACUUCUGGCCUCCAGAACUAGGUCCACAACCCAGAUCUGAUGUCAAAAGCAUUGGGUAGCUUUUGCAAAACAUUUUGCCGAUAUGGAAACCAGCAGGAGUCCACGCUGGCUCCAGCAUGACCGAUAGCUCCAUCAGUGUUAUUUGAUGAGCAGAAUAACCCAGUAUAAAAGAACAACCACCAGGUAAAAGAAAAAAAAAAUUGCUGGUUAUUGGGGCAAAAGGAAAGAAGAGAGGGUGACAAGUUUCACUCUGACUCUUGCUGCUUCCAUCUGAAAGAGGUGCAUCAGCACUCCCCCUUCCUUUACUGGCCAGAGCCACACCCCACUUUAGGAGGGCAAGCAAUUGCAAUCUUACAGUCCUUAGAAGAAAAAUCCAGAUAGCACUAAUGACUUUCACAGGUAUAAAUAAUGCAGAUCGGCAACUCUGGACAGCCAGUGGAGGUGAUGGCAAAACUCCAGACAGCCUUUUCUAAUUUCUCCUAAGUGAGUGAGUGAGUGGUGCCUGUGUGUACACGCAAGUAAAGAGCUAAGGUUGAAACAGGUAACUCCAAGGACAGCAAAAAAGCAAUGCCCUUCUCCAUCCCCAUCCCUCCAAUAAACCUCUUAUGUAUCCAGGUACUUAACCACAAUAGAACUGUUUAAUUUAUGUUCUAAGAACCCCACUGUCAGCCUGAAAAUGAGCUGUGGACAGCUUCUGGAUAUCACAGCAGAGCUUUUCUAAGUUAGAGAGAUGGCAAGCAGAAUUGAACUGUCUUAUUCCAGGAGGCGGGAAGGCAGCUGUCCGCUUAGGACACCAGCAGGAAGCAUGGUGGCGUGGUGAGAAACGGAAGGGUUUUCUGGUAGGAAAGCAAUUCCCACCCUCUGGGCCUCUAAUAUUAUGUAAUGAUUUUAUCUGUUGUGGAAGGACUUCAGGGAAAUGAGUAUAUUUCUUCGCUCUUCACCCAGAGGGUAAUCCUUAAGAAGAGAGUGAUCAUUUUUAAUACAUCUUCCCAGAUCUACCAAUCUUUUGCAUGAUGAUUGCUUUAUUGAGAUUGCAAACUGUUCUUGCAUCAGGGCAGACACGUCAGCUGCUGCCUCCCAUGCAGCCAGGAAGAAAUUGACAGUCUGCACUUCCUCGGGUUAGCUUCCCAUUAAUUAAGGCUUCACACAGAACUGACCUCUUCCUUUGGUUAUUCACAUGGAUUUUUGUGAAUCAUGCUGUUUACAAAUAAGGCUAAAUCUAAAUGCCAUGCUUACAUCUGACUGUCCAAAUCCAGGCCUAUUUUUAAUUGCUGGCUGCAGUGAAAGAGAGAAUUCGUGGGCAGAGACGGCAAGAGUAAUGAAAUGGAAGAGGUCUACAAUUCAGUUUCCUAUAAAAUAACUUCAAGAGCUAUAUCAACUUCCCUUGGCUAACUGAAGGUUCUGGAAUUCAAAUGUCUGAAAUGGAUUAACUAUGAAUUUGCCUGUGUUCCUAGCCAUUUCCUCAAAUUCAAGCUUUUACUUUCAGAAUGUCAACAAGAGCAGCUUAUCUUGUGCAAAAUCUGAGAUUCCUUACUUAGGUUGAUGAAGAUGGGGAAAAAUAAAG